CUGGCUCAGGAUGAACGCUAGCUACAGGCUUAACACAUGCAAGUCGAGGGGCAGCAUGAAGUCAGCUGCUGAUUUGAUGGCGACCGGCGCACGGGUGAGUAACGCGUAUCCAACCUUCCCUAUAGUAGAGAAUAGCCCGGCGAAAGUCGGAUUAAUGCUCUAUGUUCUUCAUAGAUGACAUCUGAAAUGAAGCAAAGGUUCACCGCUAUAGGAUGGGGAUGCGUCUGAUUAGGUUGUAGGCGGGGUAACGGCCCACCUAGCCGACGAUCAGUAGGGGUUCUGAGAGGAAGGUCCCCCACAUUGGUACUGAGACACGGACCAAACUCCUACGGGAGGCAGCAGUGAGGAAUAUUGGUCAAUGGGCGAGAGCCUGAACCAGCCAAGUAAGCGUGCAGGAAGACUGCCCUAUGGGUUGUAAACUGCUUCUAUAGGGGAAUAAAGUGAGGAACGUGUUCCUUUUUGUAUGUACCCUAUGAAUAAGGACCGGCUAAUUCCGUGCCAGCCGCGGC
rnacentral:rRNA from 1 species